rnacentral:rRNA from 1 species
CCACACUGGAACUGAGACACGGUCCAGACUCCUACGGGAGGCAGCAGUGGGGAAUAUUGCACAAUGGGCGCAAGCCUGAUGCAGCCAUGCCGCGUGUGUGAAGAAGGCCUUCGGGUUGUAAAGCACUUUCAGCAGGGAGGAAGAGUCACAUAGUUAAUACCUAGUGGCAUUGACGUUACUCGCAGAAGAAGCACCGGCUA